rnacentral:tRNA from 1 species
GGGGGAUGGGGUCAUUGGACGCCCGGUUCGUAGCCGGGAAAGGCGGGUUAGAGUCCCGCACUACCCCCCA